CCUACGGGAGGCAGCAGUGGGGGAUAUUGCACAAUGGGGGGAACCCUGAUGCAGCGACGCCGCGUGGGUGAAGGAGGAUUUCGGUAUGUAAAGCCCUAUCGGCAGGGAAGAAGGUAGACGGUACCGGACGAAGAAGCCCCGGCUAACUACGUGCCAGCAGCCGCGGUAAGACGGAGGGGGCAAGCGUUAUCCGGAUUCACUGGGUGUCAAGGGAGCGUAGACGGCCAGGCAAGCCUGGAGGGCAAGCCCGGGGCCCAACCCCGGGACUGCUCUGGGAACUGUCCGGCUGGCGUGCGGGAGGGGCAGGCGGCAUUCCUGGUGUAGCGGUGACCUGCGUAGAUAUCAGGAGGAACCCCGGCGGCGACGGCGGCCUGCUGGACCGCGACUGACGUUGAGGCUCGAAAGCGUGGGGAGCGAACAGGAUUAGCUACCCGAGUAGUC
rnacentral:rRNA from 1 species